ACCGGUAUGGCGAAAUGGUAGACGCAUUAAAUUCAAAAUUUAACGAAAUUAUAUUUCAUGCCAGUUCAAAUCUGGCUACCGGUA
rnacentral:tRNA from 1 species